CCUCGGGACGCAGCAGUGGGGAAUAUUGCACAAUGGGGGGAACCCUGAUGCAGCGACGCCGCGUGGGUGAAGGAGCACCUCGGUGCGUAAAGCCCUAUCGGCAGGGAAGAAAAGCGAACAGGUUCGCCUGGACGGUACCUGUCGAAUAAGCCACGGCUAACUACGUGCCAGCAGCCGCGGUAAUACGUAGGUGGCAAGCGUUGUCCGGAUUUACUGGGUGUAAAGGGCGUGUAGCCGGGCUGACAAGUCAGAUGUGAAAUCCGGGGGCUCAACCCCCGAACUGCAUUUGAAACUGUUGGCCUUGG
rnacentral:rRNA from 1 species